GAAUCUUGCGCAAUGGGCGAAAGCCUGACGCAGCAACGCCGCGUGGGGGACGAAGGCCCUCGGGUCGUAAACCCCUUUUGCGAAGGAAGAAGUUCUGACGGUACUUCGCGAAUAAGACACGGCUAACUACGUUCCAGCAGCCGCGGUAAUACGUAGGUGUCAAACGUUGUCCGGAUUUAUUGGGCGUAAAGCGCCCGCAGGCGACUCUGCAAGUUCCAAGUGAAAUCUCCCGGCUCAACUGGGAGGGGUCUUGGAAAACUGCAGGGCUUGAGGCAGGGAGAGGGAUGCGGAAUUCCAGGUGUAGCGGUGGAAUGCGUAGAUAUCUGGAGGAACACCAGUGGCGAAGGCGGCAUCCUGGCCCUGUCCUGACGCUGAGGGGCGAAAGCGUGGGGAGCAAACCGG
rnacentral:rRNA from 1 species